rnacentral:rRNA from 1 species
UGGGGAAUUUUUGGCAAUGGGGGAAACCCUGACCAAGCAACGCCGCGUGGAUGAUGAAGUCUCUUGGGACGUAAAAUCCUUUCGACGGGGAAGAAAGCCGCAAGGCUUGACGGUACCCGUAGAAGAAGCCCCGGCUAACUCCGUGCCAGCAGCCGCGGUAAUACGGGGGGGGCAAGCGUUGUUCGGAAUUACUGGGCGUAAAGGGCGCGUAGGCGGUUUGCUAAGUUGGAUGUGAAAACUUUGGGCUUAACCCAGAGCCUGCAUCCAAAACUAGCAGACUAGAGUUCUGGAGGGGGUAGCGGAAUUCCUGGUGUAGCGGUGAAAUGCGUAGAUAUCAGGAGGAACACCGGUGGCGAAGGCGGCUACCUGGACAGAAACUGACGCUGAGGCGCGAAAGCUAGGGGAGCAAACAG